CUGCAAACAGAGCACACAAGAAGCACAGGAAGCAUGGUCACUGUGAAAUUUCAGGCGAUUAUGAGAGAAGGAAAGAGAAGAAAUCCAAGCGAAGGCCAAACAAGCGCCUCUCAAGAUUGGACGAUGAUAUCAGUAGUGAUGACUAUGAGAGUGGGUCUGAGGAAGAUCUUAGGAAGAAGCGAUUUCACAAGAGGAGGCAUAGGCACCCUAGUUCAAGGUCUGAUGCAGAUUGAAGUGAUUCAGAAUCAGAGU